ACCGGACCGCGCGAUUGAGCACUCGCGCUGCGACGCGAGUCGCGACAAUUUGAAAUAUUUCAUUAGUAGUGCGCAUCAUGUACGCAUGGAUGUACUAUCAUGCGCACUAAUCAGAAAUGAGUUGCGACGUCUGAUAACUGCAGAUAUUUCAUUUUGUUGAAAACAAAUUUUCGAUUUUCUACUAUACACGGAAUAUUUUCAGAGCGGCGACCAAUUUUUGAUCCCUUGCUGUAUUAAAAGUUUGGGUACUUUUGAUUUGAAGACAUGCAACUCUCUACGAAAAAGAACCAACGAAACUUUUUAUUUUAACCAACGAUUUUUUUAAUUUGAUUAAUGAUUUUUCUUUCUGUGUAGAUGAAAGAUUUUGAAAUUUUCAUAGCAGACGCCUGGAUAUUAUAUCUUUCGAAAGGCGAGUUCAGAAUGGAUGGACAUUUUUUUUCGUUAAUAAUGGUCACAGACACACCGUGUUUUUAAACCGAUGUUGGAUUUUUCUCCAGAUACAGACAACCCACUCAACUUUGGAAGUAGUGCGCUGGAUUCGUCUAAAGAUAUGCUAAACAACCGAAGGAAAAUAAAAUAAUUUGUAAAACAAUUAAUUGUAUUGUAUUUUUAUUGUAAUAUUGGAGUAUAAUGUAUUCUAAAUCCUGUUGUAUUUCUAUUGUAAAACAAUAGAAACAGUAAUUGAAAACAUUUAAAACACAAUGUUUUCUAUUGUUUUGUCGCUCGAAAUCAUCCCAUUGAAGAACCGUAAAAUCAAUUGUUUUGCUCCGAAUUUUGUAUGGAAAAUUUUCGAUUUUUUUAUUGUAAAGAUACAUAACAACCCCCUUUUUAAUUGUAAAAGUCUCAUUUACCAUUCAUUUUAUCGUGGAAAACCAUUAUUUCUCAUGUGAUUUUAUUGUCAAAAUUCCAUUAUAUUCAAUGGUAAAAAUUAUGUUUUAAAUGGUGUUGUAACAAUAAAAUUUAUGAUUUUUUAUGAUACUUUUUAUCCGGGGAGCCCUUUUUGAAUUUCGACAAGAAUCUUUUCGUUAUUCACGGACAGAAAUUUGUUACUAUUGAACCAAUAAUAAUGAUUGUUACAUUCAAAUGAAUGAAAUCAUUUGAAUUUAUGUCAAUUAUUAUUGUUUCUAUAAUAAACGUUAAUUUAAAUCCAAAAUGAAAUUAUGUUUGAUUCAAUCUGUUCCAAUAAGCUAACUUCAAAAAUAAAUAUUGUAGAAACAAUAAGAACUAUAUUUAUUCCAAUAAGAGUUAUGUUUGUUUUUACUCGAAGUUACUUUUCUUUAUCCUAGACAAUAACCUAUGUAACAUAGGGUAAUGCUAGUCUGACACUAUCUUCACAUCGAAAAACCAAAACAACAACACGAAGGCAUUUUUGCUCCCACAUUAGUUCCUAGUGAAAUAUUCUAUAAUAUUUUAAUAAUAAGGCAGCGGUAAGCAUCCGCCAAAAACAUCAUCGGAGAGUUUACCCUGCUGGUUAUGGGGAGGUUGAUCUGACCUUCGGAUUCUUUUCCAUGUAAUGAAAUUCCAUUCGGAAAUGUAAUUCUGCUACUAAUUCUGGGAAAAAAGUUCCUGGCUAUUCACUAGGUAUAUAGUGAAAUGUAAGUACUACUUUUCAACCCUGAGUUGGUCCCAUCGAUGAUUGGCAACAAUAAUGUGCUAAACAUUCGGUUUGAAGAUGAUUUCACUCACCCAAGAUUCAAAAUUGCGCAGUUCUGAAGAAACAAGAUGAGUCUACGUGGGAAACUUCUGGGAAGCGUAGGAAGCGUAGGAUGUAUCCGAUGUAUACGUGGCGAUUCUUGAGAUAUGUUUCACAUUGGAUUUCAUAUUGACUGGAGAUUUAUGGCAAAAAAAAUGUAUGCAUGUGAAUGAAUAAUAGAGAAAUUGAUUAUAAGAACAUUAUUAGGUGUAAACUGUUUUAAACAAACUAAUUUGAAAGAAAAAGUUUAAUAAGAAUAAAUCAUAAAAAUUAUAAAAGUGAUGAUUGAAA